GACUCUGAAUCCAGCGAUCCGAG
rnacentral:piRNA from 4 species